CCGACGGUGAGGGACGAAAGCUGGGGGAGCGAACCGGAUUAGAUACCCGGGUAGUCCCAGCCGUAAACGAUGCCGGCUAGGUGCUGGGCGGGGUUUUGGCCCCGUCCGGUGUCGAAGGGAAGCCGUUAAGCCGGCCGCCUGAGGAGUACGGCCGCAAGGCUGAAACUUGAAGGAAUUGACGGGGGGGCACCACAAGGGGUGAAUGCCUGCGGCUCAAUUGGACUCAACGCCGGAAAUCUUACCGGGGGCGACAGCAGGAUGAAGGUCAGGCUGAAGACCUUACCAGACGAGCUGAGGGGUGGUGCAUGGCCGUCGCCAGCUCGUGCCGUGAGGCGUCCUGUUAAGUCAGGCAACGAGCGAGACCCCCGCCCCUAGUUGCCAGCGGCAUCCUUCGGGAUGGCCGGGCAAACUAGGGGGACUGCCGGCGAGAAGCCGGAGGAAGGAGGGGGCCACGGCAGGUCAGUAUGCCCCUAAUCCCCCGGGCCGCACGCGGGCUGCAAUGGGCGGGACAGCGGGAUGCGACCCCGAGAGGGGGAGCAAAUCCCUAAAACCCGCCCGUAGUUGGGAUCGAGGGCUGCAACUCGCCCUCGUGAACCCGGAAUCCCUAGUAACCGCGCGUCUACAUCGCGCGGUGAAUACGUCCCUGCCCCUUGUACACACCGCCCGUCAACCUGCCCGAGUGGGGCUGGGGCGAGGUCUAGUCUUCUCCUUCGGGAGGAGGCUAGAUCGAGCUUUGGCUCCGCAAGGGCGGGUAAGUCGUAACAAGGUAGCCGUAGGGGAACCUGCGGCUGGAUCACCUCCCAUU
rnacentral:rRNA from 1 species